GAUGAACGCUGGCGGCGUGCUUAACACAUGCAAGUCGAACGAAGCAUUUAAGACAGAUUACUUCGGUUUGAGGUCUUUUAUGACUGAGUGGCGGACGGGUGAGUAACGCGUGGGUAACCUGCCUCAUACAGGGGGAUAGCAGCUGGAAACGGCUGGUAAUACCGCAUAAGCGCCCAGUACCACAUGGUACAGUGUGAAAAACUCCGGUGGUAUGAGAUGGACCCGCGUCUGAUUAGCAGGUUGGCGGGGUAACGGCCCACCAAGGCGACGUUCAGUAGCCGAGAGGUGAGGCAGGCUCGCGACACUGGGAGUGGGAAGCGGCCGGGAAUCUUACGGGAGGGAGGAGUGGGGAAUAGUGCAAAAUGGAGGAAGUGCUGAAGGAGCGCCGCCGGGAGAGCGAAGAAGUAGUGGGCUAAGAAAAGCGCUAUCAGCAGGGAAGAUAGUGACGGUACCUAACUAAGAAGCCCCGGCUAACUACGUG
rnacentral:rRNA from 1 species